rnacentral:miRNA from 2 species
UGCCAAAGGAGAGCUGCUCUU